GAUGAACGCUGGCGGCGCGCCUAACACAUGCAAGUCGAACGAUUAAAGCACCUUCGGGUGUGUAUAAAGUGGCGAACGGCUGAGUAACACGUGGGCAACCUGCCCCUCUCAUUGGGAUAGCCACGGGAAACCGUGGAUAAUACCGAAUACUUCGGGACUUCCGCAUGGAAGACUCGAGAAAGCUCCGGCGGAGAGGGAUGGGCCCGCGGCCUGUUAGCUUGUUGGUGGGGUAAUGGCCUACCAAGGCAAUGAUGGGUAGCUGGGUUGAGGGACCGACCAGCCAGAUUGGGACUGAGACACGGCCCAGACUCCUACGGGAGGCAGCAGUGGGGAAUCUUGCACAAUGGGCGAAAGCCUGAUGCAGCGACGCCGCGUGCGGGAUGAAGGCCUUCGGGUUGCAAACCGCUUUCAGCAGGGACGAGGCGAAAGUGACGGUACCUGCAGAAGAAGCCCCGGCUAACUACGUG
rnacentral:rRNA from 1 species